GGUUUGGUGGUCUAGUGGUAUGACGUCCGGUCUUGGGUCUCGCACGAAGCAGGAAGGUUCCUUCGGGAGCAGUCUUAGCUUGACAGUUGUUGAUCGCGGAAGACGUGGGUUCGAUUCCCACCUAAAUCU